UUCUUCUAAGAUCAAGCCCCGACGGCCCUUUGGAUCAACAAUCAUCCACCUUCAAGCCCAAGCCUCAACGGCCCAUUGAAGAAAGCGUUCAUCGUUCAUCGUUCAUCAACUGUUCAUCCUCAAGGAUCAAGCCCCAACGGCCCCUUUGGAUCGACAACAUCAACGAAUCCGCUCAUCCGCUGUUCAUCAAGCCCAAGCCUCGACGGCCCUUGAAGAAAGCGUUCAUCGUUCAUCGUUCAUCAACUGUUCAUCCUCAAGAUCAAGCCCCGACGGCUCCUUGAAGAUCCGCUCAAAUCCACCUUCAAAGAUCAAGCCCACGGCCCUUUGAAGAAACUUCCAACUGUUCAUCCAAGAUCAAGCCUUGACGCCCCUUAGAUCAACGAAACACCUACCAAUCAACACCUUACGGAGAUCGAAUCAGAGGAUAAAUUUGAGAGAGAUUGUAACCCAAAAUCAUCAAA
rnacentral:lncRNA from 1 species